rnacentral:rRNA from 1 species
GAUGAACGCUAGCGGCAGGCCUAAUACAUGCAAGUCGAGGGGCAGCGCGGUAGCAAUACUGGCGGCGACCGGCGCACGGGUGCGUAACACGUAUGCAACCUACCUUCAACUGGAGGAUAGCCCGGGGAAACUCGGAUUAAUACUCCAUAAUACAGGGAUCCCGCAUGGGAAUAUUGUUAAAGCUACGGCGGUUGAAGAUGGGCAUGCGUUCGAUUAGCUAGUUGGUGUAGGUAACGGCUCACCAAGGCUACGAUCGAUAGGGGGUCUGAGAGGAUGAUCCCCCAAACUGGUACUGAGAUACGGACCAGACUCCUACGGGAGGCAGCAGUAGGGAAUAUUGGUCAAUGGGCGCAAGCCUGAACCAGCCAUGCCGCGUGCAGGAAGAAGGCCCUCUGGGUUGUAAACUGCUUUUGAUAGGGAACAAAUGCCACUUGCGAGUGGAGCUGAGUGUACCUAUAGAAUAAGCACCGGCUAACUCCGUGCCAGCAGCCGCGGUAA